CCCGCUAACUACGUGCCACGCCGCGGUAAUACGUAGUGCGAGCGUAUCGGAAUUAUGGGCCUAGAGGUCGUAGGGGUAAUGUAAGUCCGGUGUGAAAUCUCGAGGCUCAACCUCGAAACUGCAUUGGAAACUGCAUUACUUGAGUGUCAGAGAGGAAGGCGGAAUUCCUGGUGUAGCGGUGGAAUGCGUAGAUAUCAGGAAGAACACCGACGGCGAAGGCAGCUUUCUGGCUGGCAACUGACCCUGAUGAACGAAAGCUAGGGUAGCGAACAGGAUUAGAUACCCUGGUAGUCCUAGCUGUAAACGUUGUGCACUGGAUGUGGGCGGAUUUGGUCCCGUCUGUGUCUGAGCGAAGGCGUUAAGUGCACCGCCUGGGGACUACGGCCGCAAGGCUAAAACUCAAAGGAAUUGACGGGGGCCCGCACAAGCGGUGGAGCAUGUGGCUCAAUUCGAGGCAACGCGAAGAACCUUACCUGGGUUUGACAUAUACCUGACCGCCGGUGAGAGCCGGUUUCUCUUUGAGCAGGUAUACAGGUGCUGCAUGGCUGUCGACAGCUCGUGCUGUGAAGUGUUCGGUUAAGUCCGGCAACGAGCGCAACCCACGCUGUUAGUUACCAUCAGGUAAUGCUGGGGACUCUAACAGGACUGCCCGUGCUAAGCGGGAGGAAGGCGUGGACGACGUCAAGUCCGCAUGGCCCUUACGCCCAGGGCUGCACACGUGCUACAAUGGCCGGUACAGAGGGUCGCCACUCUGCGAAGAGGAGCUAAUCCCGAAAACCGGCCUCAGUUCGGAUUGGAGUCUGCAACCCGACUCCAUGAAGUAGGAAUCGCUAGUAAAGGCGUAUCAGCAACGGCGCCUUGAAUCUGUUCCCGGGCCUUGUACACACCGCCCGUCACAUCAUGGAAGCCGGCUGCACCCGAAGUCGCUA
rnacentral:rRNA from 1 species